rnacentral:rRNA from 1 species
UGGGGAAUAUUGGACAAUGGGCGCAAGCCUGAUCCAGCAAUGCCGCGUGUGUGAAGAAGGCCUUCGGGUUGUAAAGCACUUUUAUCAGGAGCGAAACGCUGUCGGCUAAUACCCGGCGGAACUGACGGUACCUGAGGAAUAAGCACCGGCUAACUUCGUGCCAGCAGCCGCGGUAAUACGAAGGGUGCAAGCGUUAAUCGGAAUUACUGGGCGUAAAGCGUGCGUAGGCGGUCUCUUAAGUCUGCUGUGAAAUCCCCGGGCUCAACCUGGGAAUGGCAGUGGAUACUGGGAGGCUAGAGUGUGUCAGAGGGUGGUGGAAUUCCCGGUGUAGCGGUGAAAUGCGUAGAGAUCGGGAGGAACAUCAGUGGCGAAGGCGGCCACCUGGGACAACACUGACGCUGAGGCACGAAAGCGUGGGGAGCAAACAGGAUUAGAUACCCUGGUAGUCCACGCCCUAAAGCGAUGCGAACUGGAUGUUGGUCUCAACUCGGAGAUCAGUGUCGAAGCUAACGCGUUAAGUUCGCCGCCUGGGGGAGUACGGUCGCAAGACUGAAACUCAAAUGAAUUGAC